rnacentral:rRNA from 1 species
UGGGGAAUAUUGGACAAUGGGCGCAAGCCUGAUCCAGCAAUGCCGCGUGUGUGAAGAAGGCCUUCGGGUUGUAAAGCACUUUUGUCCGGAACGAAAAGCGAUGGGUUAAUAACCUGUCGUGCUGACGGUACCGGUUGAAUAAGCACCGGCUAACUUCGUGCCAGCAGCCGCGGUAAUACGAAGGGUGCAAGCGUUAAUCGGAAUUACUGGGCGUAAAGGGUGCGUAGACGGUUUGUUAAGUCGGAUGUGAAAGCCCCGGGCUCAACCUGGGAAUGGCAUCUGAUACUGGCAGGCUAGAGUGCGAUAGAGGAUGGUGGAAUUCCCGGUGUAGCGGUGAAAUGCGUAGAGAUCGGGAGGAACAUCUGUGGCGAAGGCGGCCAUCUGGAUCAGCACUGACGUU